UUUGCAAGUUGUUGUCUGAAUUUGGAGUCUCAAAUAUGAGGGGGCUUAUCGGAUCAUCCUAUUCACCUGUAACCAGUAUAGGAACUUCAUUAUCCACUCAAUCACACUUAUAUGUUCUCUUGAGAAGAUCUUUAAAGCGAGCGAAAAGUCUAAAGCUGAAAUGACUGACUGAAUCUAUGCAUCUUGCCAUGGCUAAAUUUGACUUGACUCAAGUGAAAAGACCUUUGCUUUCAUUUAGACAAAAAGCUUCCAUGAAACUUGCAACAUGCCCAAUUAAUAUCUGCAAGGAACUGAGUGGAUUAAGAACAUAAAGAAGCCAAAAGGUUUCGUUAUCUCUUCACAGGAGAAUGAAUGUAGGAGUAAUAUUGAUGCUCUCUACUUCUGUGGGCAGCCAUGUUCCAUCCCUGGAUCUGUGGUGUAGCUUUUAGGCUCUUCGUAUUUGUUCUACGCUGCUUUUUGGGAGGUCAACGGCAGGUGAUGUGAUGAUCUUUGUUCUCAUGCUUGUCUUCCAUACACUGAAAGAAGUUGUGUUGAGCUUGGUUGACUAAUAAGGAAGAGAUCAUACAGGUAUGUUAAGGCUAUCCCUUCUUUCUUUUGGCAUGAUCCAAGCAACAAUACAUAAACAUAAUAAUAUUCCAUAA